rnacentral:rRNA from 1 species
GAUGAACGCUGGCGGCGUGCCUAAUACAUGCAAGUCGAGCGAACAGACGAGGAGCUUGCUCCUCUGACGUUAGCGGCGGACGGGUGAGUAACACGUGGAUCACCUACCUAUAAGACUGGGAUAACUUAGGGAAACCGGAGCUAAUACCGGAUAAUCUAUUGAACCGUAUGGUUCAAUAGUGAAAGACGGCUUUUCUGUCACUUAUCGAUGGUUCCGCGCCGCUUUAGAUAGUUGGUAAGGUAACGGCUUACCAAGGCAACGAUGCGUAGCCGACCUGAGAGGGUGAUCGGCCACACUGGAACUGAGACACGGUCAAGACGCCUACGGGAGGCAGCAGUAGGGAAUGUGCCGCAAUGGGCGAAAGCAUGACGGAGCAACGCCGCGUGAGUGAUGAAGGUCUUCGGAUCGUAAAACUCGGUUAUUAGGGAAGAACAAAUGUGUAAGUAACUAUGCACGGCUUGACGGUAACUAAUCAGAAAGCCACGGCUAACUACGUG